UGUGUAACCCUGGUAUCCUCGAACU
rnacentral:piRNA from 1 species